UACGUAGGGUGCAAGCGUUGUCCGGAAUUAUUGGGCGUAAAGAGCUCGUAGGCGGUUUGUCGCGUCGAAUGUGAAAACCCGGGGCUCAACCCCGGGCCUGCAUUCGAUACGGGCAGACUAGAGUUCGGUAGGGGAGACUGGAAUUCCUGGUGUAGCGGUGAAAUGCGCAGAUAUCAGGAGGAACACCGAUGGCGAAGGCAGGUCUCUGGGCCGAUACUGACGCUGAGGAGCGAAAGCGUGGGGAGCGAACAGG
rnacentral:rRNA from 1 species